CCUUGAGAGUCCUGAAGGAACGUUGAAGACGACGACGUUGAUAGGCUGGGUGUGUAAGCGCAGCGAUGCGUUGAGCUAACCGGUACUAAUGAACCGUGAGGCUUAACCUUACAACGCCGAAG
rnacentral:rRNA from 1 species